UUCCGUUAAAAAUCAUCUUAGAUUGUUAUGGGUUAGUCGAUCCUAAGAGAUAGGGAAAUUCCGUUUGCAAGCGCCCGAUCUUGGGCCGCCUAUCGAAAUUGAAUCGGGUUAAUAUUCCCGAACCGGGACGCGGAUAUUGCCGUUCGCGGCAGAUGCGGUAACGCAAACGAACCCAAAGACGCUGGCGUGGGCCCUGGGAAGAGUUCUCUUUUCUUUUUACCGAGCUUUCGCCAGCAUACAAGCACAAUACAGCGAGUAGUCAAGUUUAAAGAGUUCGGGGGCCCUGAGAAAGGAAAAAACAGUUACUUAAUUAGAAUAAGUAGGCAAAUGUAUUUAUGUCUUUUUAGUCCAAGCCAGCGGGUCAAUGAUGCUUAUCGUUUUGGUAAAUCCUGACUAUUCCGUUCAAAUCAGGAAAGUGCACUUCCCUGUUCAAAUCAAAUCCUUUUUUCAUCUUAUUUUCUUCUGUUGCCUUUUUUUGUCAACAUGUUUAUCUUAUUUUUUCAAACAUGUU
rnacentral:ncRNA from 1 species